rnacentral:sRNA from 1 species
ACUGGGCAUGGUGGCGCAUUCCUGUAACCCCAGUGACUUGGGAGGCUGAGACAGGAGAAUCUAUAGUUCAAGGCCAGCCUCAGCAAUUUAGCAAGACCCUCAGCAAUUUAGUGAGACUCUGUCUCUA